AUGAUGUCGCAACCCGUUGUGGCACCGACAAGCGAGGCACCAGAUGAUGAUAUGAAGUUUGUCAUUGGUUCCGUAUCUCCGUUUGCCUGUACAAGUCUGGGGGGUGGUGUGAUCAGACUUAAGACUACCACGGUGCCUGUUCUCGCCUUUUUUAGAAGUGGGGAAAAAAUUCAAGAUAUUGUUUGGCCGCAAACCAUAGAAAUCAAAGGAAGAGUGAAAUGGGGGGUUUUUAAAAAAUUCCUCAAGGAUCUUCGUCACUCUCAAAACCGCUCAGUAAUGUCUUUAGAAGGUAUGGACAUUCAGAAUAUUACGCUUAAGCUAUUUAUGACACUGAUGCGGGUUGCAAAUAUGUUAAAAGUGAACAAAAGAAUUGGUUUAGCAACAACAGAAGAUGGUUCAUAUAUUUAUGUAUGUCCUGGACACAAGGACAUAAUAACGGUCCUUGCAAAAUAUGGUUUCUGGAAAGGCGCGUCAACAAUCGAUAGAAACCAAGACUCAUUAAUCGGUUUUGUUGUAAGGGACCGAAAACCACCAGUAAACACAAGUGAGGGAGAGGUAAGUAUUGAGAAAAUACAAGAAAUCGGGGGCACUCACGUGGAAGCACAAGAAGUGAUAUAUGAUAAGCAAUCAUACCCUGUUCAUCCUCUUUGUGCACCAGUAGAUCAUGGCCUAUACUUUCGUCGUCCUCCCCUGGUACUAGCAGAGCAAGGCUCAUAUUGUCCGUAUCCUCCUCCUGGACUACUAGGUCACGACUUCCAUGCUCGGCAUCCUCCUAUUGGACUAUCAGGUCAAGGGUUACAUCCUCAUGCCCCAGAAUGUCAAGGCGUCUUUCAUCAGCUUCCUCCUUGUGCAAGAGGUCAAGGCUUCAUUACCCACUGCGCUCCCAAUUUCGCACUAGAAUACUUCAAGCCAUUAACAGAUCAUGGAAACAACAACGGUUCACAACACAUGAGGCCACCUAGCGGCUCUGCUCCUGGUCAUUUGUGGCAUAGAAUGUCGUGCGCAAGGUCCGGGAAUAAUCUUCCUGGUUUUGAAAGAUCAGAAGGCUUCUCUGGCUCUAGCUCCACAUAUUACUCUAGAUUCGAAAAUGGGUCGGGUAGCAUGCCUCCCAACUAA
rnacentral:rRNA from 1 species